CAGCCGCCGCGGUAAAACAGAGGUCUCAAGCGUUGUUCGGAUUCAUUGGGCGUAAAGGGUGCGUAGGUGGCGGUGUAAGUCUAACGUGAAAUCUCGGGGCUCAACCUCGAAAUUGCGUCGGAUACUGCAUUGCUAGAGGAUUGUAGAGGAGAGUGGAAUUCAUGGUGUAGCAGUGAAAUGCGUAGAUAUCAUGAGGAAGACCAGUUGCGAAGGCGACUCUCUGGGCAAUUCCUGACACUGAGGCACGAAGGCUAGGGGAGCAAACGGGAUUAGAUACCCCAGUAGUCCCUGUCUCUUAUAC
rnacentral:rRNA from 1 species